GUGGGAAAUCAGGACUGUUACUUUGAAAAAUUAGAGUGUUUAAAGCAAGCGCUAGCUUGAAUACAUUAGCAUGGAAUAAUGAAAUAGGACGUUUGACCCUAUUUUGUUGGUUUCUAGGAUCGACGUAAUGAUUAAUAGGGAUAGUUGGGGGCAUUAGUAUUCAAUUGUCAGAGGUGAAAUUCUUGGAUUUAUUGAAGACUAACUACUGCGAAAGCAUUUGCCAAGGAUGUUUUCAUUAAUCAAGAACGAAAGUUAGGGGAUCGAAGACGAUCAGAUACCGUCGUAGUCUUAACCAUAAACUAUGCCGACUAGGGAUCGGAUGAUGUUAAUUUUAUUAAUGACUCAUUCGGCGCCUUACG
rnacentral:rRNA from 1 species